GGAGAGAGUUCCCACGCCGGUAGGGAUGCACAGUGCUCCUCAUCCCAAACAGGACAGAGGGUGCCCGGGGGCAGGGUGCGUGGUCCUCCCCAGGCUUUGGUCACUGUCUCUACACCCCCGCCAAGGCAAUGACAUUUUUGCCAAGAGCAGGAGGCUGCCUGGAUCACUGGUAUGAGCCUGAGCCGUCUGAGGAAUCGGGACACGCUGUGCUCACAGGCACCCACUGUCCUGGCAGCCCGGGAGGAGGACACAGGGAUGCCUGGGGUAAGUGUGCUGUGGGGGUCCACCCAGUGCUUCCUCUGCUGGAAGCAGGAGCUGUGCUGCACUUUGCACCAGGGAGGAGGUGACACCAGUCCUGGCACUUAGAGCUGUCAGCGCAUUCAGGUCCCUAGCACGGAGGGGUGACUCCCAGAGCCCCACACAUGGCGCAGCCUGUCCAGGCUUUGGCAUGGACCUGGGAGGGCUGUGCUGGUGAUGGAGCCCUAGCUCUGAUGCAGCCAACCUCCAGCUUGACAUGGCUCCAUCACCAUGGCUCCUGCUCUGGCCCUUUCCCAGAGACUCCCAUCCACUGUAUCUUCUGGUAUGGGACUUUCCCUGCUGAAGCCCACAAAUCUGCCAAAUUGCUGUGGACCAAGCUCAGGGAAACACCCUCCCUACCCAGGAUGGCAUUGCACAGCCUACUGCCAGCAGCAAACCACUCCACACCCACAGCUGACAUCUGCCCAGUACCUCUGUUUGCCCCUUCCUCUGAGCCCUGCACAGGGAAUGCCACAUCCACUCACAGCCACAGUAAGUUUGCCCUGUCCCAUAGCAGCACAGAACCACCAGAUCAGUGUGAACUCCUCUGCACACAGCAGCCACCUCGCCCAGCUUGACAUGCCUGCCCCAUGCUAGGUUAAACGUGCCCUUCCAGAGGAUUCUCAAUGUUUUAAAGGAGAGUCAUCUAUAGGAUCAGCAAAGAGCUCUGAGGAGACCCCUGGCUGCUGCCCAGGGGCUCUGGACUGCCAUAGGACUGGUGUUGCCAUUGCUCGUCCUUGUCCGCUCACCCCUGUCCUUGGCGGCAGCCUCAGAGAUUUGACGCAUCUCCCCCAUUUAGCUCCAUAAACCAGCUGGGAUUGAAUUUUUUGUUCUCAAUCCUGAAAAGCCUGGCCAUGCCCUGCUGGCUGUGUUCCAGAUGGCUCUGCUUUAGCUUCUCCUCCAAUUUCCAGGGUUGGUUUUCAUCAAAGAGGGGCUGGCUAUCAAAAGGAGUAUUUAUUUAUAGGGUGUCAAAUACCCUGUGUGGCACCACAGGUCGUUAUACCCCAUUCCCAAGCGGCCCCGUGGCUGCACACAGCUGUUCCACCCUUCAUCCUGGCCAGGCACAAGCCAAUUUCAACACCUUCCUAACAUCUCCCCAGAGGGAUCUAUUUCCCAGGAGGAACAUCAGUCAUGGCACUAAAUAAAACUCUUCCUGGCCUUGCCCUUCUCAGGGUACAAAGUAGCACACUGGACCCCAAAUCCACCCAAAUCCCCUUCCAUACACCCCAAACAUUCUUCCUUGCAGCCAGCACUCGGCAGCUAACCACGGCAAGAGAUUUUUCUGUUUCUCUGAUCUGCCACAGUUUAUCAAGCACCACAGUUUUUCCAAAGAGCAUUGAGGAGGUGCAUGUCUGGGGACUGGUGACACAGCUUGGGACACUUGUCCCCGUUCGUUUUGGGGAGCCAGGCUGUAGGCUACCCCACAAAGUUCAAGACAGGACCAGCAACCAGCACUGCCCACCACAGCUGGCCUGUCCCCCCACCCCACACAGGACCCAUCAGCCCAGUUCAGUGUCAACAUCGAAGGAAUGGGAUCCUGACAGUCUUCCCCUCGGACGCUUUCCAUAUAAGGGCCCCCUCUUCCUUUAACCCCCCCGAGGUCCAGAGCCUGUGCAGGGGAGGAGCUGUUGGCAUGCCUACUUACAUCUGUAGCUUUCUUCUCCGCCUGCUCCAGCUUCUCCUGGGCCUCCUUGACAGACUCGGAGUACUUCUCCACCUCAUCCUCAGUGCCCUUCAGCUUCUUCUGCAGGCCCUGCUGUUCCUCCUCUAGCUGGGGAAAGGACAAAGGGUGGGGUUCGGGGGGAUGGCAGUGUCUGCAAUGCUGGAAAGGGAUCUGUCCUCCCAUUCUCCUCCUGAGGACACCCAGCCUGUGUGGGGCACAGCAGGAAAACAUGGACGUGGACGUGUCCUCUAACAGCCUUGGGUCUACGGGUCCUUGGGGGACUCUUGGUGUACAGCAGCCUCUUGGACCCCCAUCAUCCCUGAGCCUGGUGGAGGUAAGGGGAUGGUGCUCUCCUUCUCUGUAUAGGGGACUGGAGAGCUCCCAACUUGGGGAUACAGCUCUGGGGGACACCAAUCUGUGUUCCCAUCUCUGUGGUUGCGGUGGGAGUAUGCAGUCCCCGGGGCUCUCCCUGGCACGGGGAUAGGGAGGUGGAACUGGGGUGUCCCGCUGAGAUAAGACAUGGGGGGACCAGCGUAAGGGGUCAAGUGAAAGAGACUUAAGUGUUGAUUCCUGGGGAACAUGGCCUUCCUGGAUCCACAUGGGGUAAUGUCCCUGGGGACAUGGUCACAGAGAGGGAAGGUCUUUAGGGCUGUCAAUCCCUAGAGCUGGCAUCCACAAGCAGGACACCCAGUGGGUCCUUGGGCCAGGACAUAGUUAGGACAGAGGACUCCAGGCUGAAGAACCAGUGUGGGGAGCUCGGUAUAGGGAUUGCAUGAUCCUAGAGAGUGCAGUGUCCCCAGGAUCAGUUUGAUGGCAUCCCCAGGGCUGGGCACCCAGCGGGACAGGAUUUCCAGGACGGGACAACCCUAGGGUGGAAGGUCCCCAGGGUGGAGGGUCCCCAGGCUGGACUCCCAGAAGAACAGGGUCCUGGGGCUGGACACCCCUGGAGUGGAGGGUACCCAGGUACUGCCGGGGAAGCCCGUGGGAGACCCACCUGCUUGCAGCGAUCCUCCGCCUGCUUCUUAUCAGCCUCCGCUUGCUCGGCGCGGUCGAUGGCAUUCUCCUUGUCCAAUUUCAGCAUCUGCAUCUUCUUCUUGAUGGCCUCCAUGGUGGCGGGGUGUCGGCGGCGAGGCGCGGGGCGGCAGAGGGACGAGGAGCACCGGGAGCGGCGGGAGCACCGGGAGCGGAGGGAGCACCGGCACUGCGUUCCCCGCCCCGCCGAGCUGCCUAAAAGCUGGGGAGGGGCCGUGCCGGGCGGGGGCUGCCCCGGUACCUCCCCCGCCGCCCGCCAGCACCUUUUAGGGACUGGCUCGCCACCGGCCCUCGCACCGAGCGGGACGGGGGGGCGGCCCCCCGGCGGGCAUCGCCGCAGCCCUGGCGCCCGGCACACACCGGGGAACAGGGCGAGGGACACCCCCGGUCACGACGCUGGGGACAGUCCGGUGGUACUGGGCAGGAGACGCCGCGGGAUAGUGUGCUAUGGGUAGCCUGGUGGCACAGGGUGAUGGAUAUCCUGGGUCAACGCUCUCGUGGUACCCCUGUGAUACCGGAUGAGGGACACUCCGUAGCACUGUGCUGGGGUACCCCAAUGGCAGCGGCAGGGGACAUCCUGGGGCACUGAGUACGGCUACCCCGGUGGCACUGGCCCCAGUUAGAGCUGUCCUCAUGCUAGUGCCCUAGGUACACCACAUGCCCUGUCACAGCACCCUGGGGCCUUAGGGACCCUGCUUGCUGGCACUAGCUUGGGGACACCUCAAGGGCUGGCAUGGAACUUGGGAACACCAGUGGGCUGGCACUGAAUUGUAGGGGACACACUCGGGCUGUGAUUGCACUGAGGGACAUGUUUGCCUGGCAUUGCCCACAUGGGGAAAAUCCCCCAGGAGAGAAGUGAGCAGAGCCCCUGACUUUCCCAUCUGGCUGCUGGUGGGGCAGGGGGGCCAGAGCUCUCUGCAGACUUCUGGGCACCCACCUUCCUUCUGUCUUGCACCUUGGUGCCACUGUUCCUGGCACCCACAAGGACACCUGGCACAUGCACAGCCCCUAGAGUGGCACUUUAGAGUGACACAGGGCAUACAGGCAGCUCAGUGCCCCUCUUCAUCUUUCUGCUCUAAAUAAACUGUAUUCCACAGGCAAAAAAAUGCAAACCCUUCAAA